rnacentral:rRNA from 1 species
CCUACGGGUGGCAGCAGUGAGGAAUAUUGGUCAAUGGACGAGAGUCUGAACCAGCCAAGCAGCGUGAAGGAUGACUGCCCUAUGGGUUGUAAACUUCUUUUAUAUGGGAAUAAAACGUUCCACGUGUGGGAUUUUGUAUGUACCAUAUGAAUAAGGAUCGGCUAACUCCGUGCCAGCAGCCGCGGUAAUACGGAGGAUCCGAGCGUUAUCCGGAUUUAUUGGGUUUAAAGGGAGCGUAGGUGGAUGGUUAAGUCAGUUGUGAAAGUUUGAGGCUCAACCGUAAAAGUGCAGUUGAAACUGGCAGGCUGGAGUACAGUAGAGGUAGGCGGAAUUCGUGGGGUAGCGGUGAAAUGCGUAGAUAUCACGAAGAACUCCGAUUGCGAAGGCAGUUCACUGGACUGCAACUGACACUGAGGCUCGAAAGUGUGGGUAUCAAACAGGAUUAGAUACCCCUGUAGUC